rnacentral:tRNA from 1 species
GUGGCUGUAGCUCAGUCCGGAUAGAGCACCUGGUUGUGGCCCAGGAGGUCGUGGGUUCAAGUCCCAUCAGCCACCCUA